UUAGCUCAGAUGGUAAAGAAUCUGCCUGCAAUGCAGGAGACCCAGGUUCAAUCCCUGGA
rnacentral:tRNA from 1 species